rnacentral:rRNA from 1 species
UACGAAGGGGGCUAGCGUUGCUCGGAAUCACUGGGCGUAAAGCGCACGUAGGCGGAUUGUUAAGUCAGGGGUGAAAUCCUGGAGCUCAACUCCAGAACUGCCUUUGAUACUGGCGAUCUCGAGUCCGGGAGAGGUGAGUGGAACUGCGAGUGUAGAGGUGAAAUUCGUAGAUAUUCGCAAGAACACCAGUGGCGAAGGCGGCUCACUGGCCCGGUACUGACGCUGAGGCACGAAAGCGUGGGAGCAAACAGG